rnacentral:tRNA from 4 species
GCACAGGUGGGUGAGUGGUUAAAGCCGGCAGACUGUAAAUCUGCUCCUCCUUGCGAGGUACGGAGGUUCGAAUCCUCCCCUGUGCACCA